rnacentral:rRNA from 1 species
GACGAACGCUGGCGGCGUGCUUAACACAUGCAAGUCGAACGGAAAGGCCCUGCUUUUGUGGGGUGCUCGAGUGGCGCACGGGUGAGUAACACGUGAGUAACCUGCCCUUGACUUUGGGAUAACUUCAGGAAACUGGGGCUAAUACCGGAUAGGAGCUCCUGCUGCAUGGUGGGGGUUGGAAAGUUUCGGCGGUUGGGGAUGGACUCGCGGCUUAUCAGCUUGUUGGUGGGGUAGUGGCUUACCAAGGCUUUGACGGGUAGCCGGCCUGAGAGGGGGACCGGCCACAUGGGGACUGAGAUACGGCCCAGACGCCUACGGGAGGCAGCAGUGGGGAAUAUUGCACAAUGGGCGGAAGCCUGAUGCAGCAACGCCGCGUGCGGGAUGACGGCCUUCGGGUUGUAAACCGCUUUCGCCUGUGACGAAGCGUGAGUGACGGUAAUGGGUAAAGAAGCACCGGCUAACUACGUG